AUACAGAGGGUGCAAGCGUUAAUCGGAUUUACUGGGCGUAAAGCGCGCGUAGGUGGUUUGAUCAGUCGGAUGUGAAAGCCCAGGGCUCAACCUUGGAAUUGCAUUCGAUACUGUCAGACUAGAGUUUAGUAGAGGAAGGUGGAAUUCCAGGUGUAGCGGUGAAAUGCGUAGAUAUCUGGAGGAAUACCAGUGGCGAAGGCGGCCUUCUGGACUAAAACUGACACUGAGGUGCGAAAGCGUGGGGAGCAAACAGGAUUAGAAACCCCGGUAGUCC
rnacentral:rRNA from 1 species